UGGCUUUAACGUUAUCUCAAAAAUAGUGGUUUUUAGUGAAUCUUGAAUUUAGAUUGUUUAGUAAAAAUAACAAUAUUGCGCAGUUUGUCUUUCAUGGACUUGGUUUUCCACUACCUUUUGUUAUUAACCCUCUAACUUAUGUAUUGAUAGUUAUGCCCUUCUCAUAAAAAUUAUUCUCCUCUUUAUCCCCUAAGGAGUUAUGCAAAAG